UGACUGGAAAAUUACAAUUAUAC
rnacentral:snRNA from 1 species